rnacentral:rRNA from 1 species
CCCUAACCGUGCAAAGGUAGCAUAAUCAUUUGCCUUUUAAUUGGAGGCUUGUAUGAAUGGUUUGACGAGGGCUAAGCUGUCUCUUUUAAAAUAUUUAGAAAUUAACUUUUAGGUGAAGAGGCCUAAAUUUGGCUGAGGGACAAGAAGACCCUGUUGAGCUUUAGUUUUAUGCUAAAUGGAUUAUUAUGAUAUUUGUAAUAAGCGUGGACCUAGGUGUAAUGGGAUUUUAGUAUGAAUCUUUAGUUGGGGCGACUGAGGAACAGCUAGAGCUUCCUUUGGUUUAGAAGGGCAAGUAGUGUGCCGGAAAAUAGUGUAUUCUUGCAGGUUGUUUUGAUCCAGUAGAAUACUGAUUAAAGGAAAAAGUUACCACAGGGAUAACAGCGUAAUCUUUCUGGAGAGAUCUUAUCGAAAGGAGGGUUUGCGACCUCGAUGUUGGACUAA